rnacentral:rRNA from 1 species
UGUACCUACGGGAGGCAGCAGUGGGGAAUAUUGGGCAAUGGAGGCAACUCUUACCCAGCAAUGCCGCGUGAAUGAAGAAGGUCUUCGGAUUGUAAAGUUCUUUAAUUGGGGACGAAAAAAAUGACGGUACCCAAGGAAUAAGCCCCGGCUAACUACGUGCCAGCAGCCGCGGUAAUACGUAGGGGGCAAGCGUUAUCCGGAUUUACUGGGUGUAAAGGGAGCGUAGGCGGUUUAGCAAGUCAGAAGUGAAAGCCCGGGGCUCAACUCCGGGACUGCUUUUGAAACUGUUGAACUAGAUUGCAGGG